GGAGUUAGCCGGUGCUUCUUCUGUGAGUGAUGUCCUUCCUGCCGGCUAUUAACCCGCAGGCCUUCUUCCUCACUGAAAGUGCUUUACAACCCGAAGGCCUUCUUCACACACGCGGCAUGGCUGGAUCAGGGUUGCCCCCAUUGUCCAAUAUUCCCCACUGCUGCCUCCCGUAGGAGUCUGGGCCGUGUCUCAGUCCCAGUGUGGCUGAUCAUCCUCUCAGACCAGCUACGGAUCGUCGCCUUGGUGAGCCGUUACCUCACCAACCAGCUAAUCCGACAUAGGCUCAUCCGAUAGCGCGAGGCCCGAAGGUCCCCCGCUUUCCCCCGUAGGGCGUAUGCGGUAUUAGCCUGGGUUUCCCCGGGUUAUCCCCCACUACCGGGCAGAUUCCUAUGCAUUACUCACCCGUCCGCCGCUCGCCACCAGGGAGCAAGCUCCCCGUGCUGCCGCUCGACUUGCAUGUGUUAGGCCUGCCGCCAGCGUUCAAUCUGAGCCANAAUCAAACUCUGA
rnacentral:rRNA from 1 species